rnacentral:lncRNA from 1 species
UGACUCCAUCAGAACUUCUGGUCCCUCCUCCUCCCUCCCUGAUUGCAUCAUUAGUGCUAAUUGAGGGGCUUUCACACGCCAGUGCAUUAGCUGUUUGGAGUGAGCUCCCCCCUCCUGCGAGAUAAGCUGCCGCCCCUCCCCCUCGUGGCUCUCCACUUCCCUAGGGCACUGAAACUGUCCACCGAGGUCGUCUCACUUCCUCAGGCUCCCUCCUGCUUUGCUCUGGGCAGGAAAAAGUUAUCUCUCUUCCUGCAGUGCCGUGGAUUCGGCUGGAGCGACGGCAUAUGGGUUCUACAGUGUCUACUCAAGAAGUGUGAGGACCAGCUAGCUACCAUGCCCAGGAGAGGUUUGACUUCUGGCGGUUUCACCUCUGAUGGCUGCACAACCAAACACUGUGUAUGUGUGUGGCAUAUUUCUUGAAAAGCUUUCUUCAGAUCCUCUGCAUGUUCAUGUCUCGGAGAAGCGUCCGUGGGGAAGGAUUUGGCAUCGACAUCACAUCCUCCCAGCUUGCCCGUGUUGAAGAACUCCGUUUCUUUCAACCCAGGUCGCUAAUGCCUCUGUUGGAGAAUUGUUUUCCUCUCAAAACAACCAGGGGAUGAGCUGAACUGGUAACUCAGGCUUCCAUGGGCUUCCGGUAGCCCUCUAUGCAGCCUGGCACCCCAACUUUCCACCAGCCGGAAGAAAGCUACACUCCUCAGCCUGAGGCAGGUGCUUUCUUCCAGGCCAUCUUCUACCUUCCUGAAGUGCCUUCUCCUGGUCCUUUGGUCCCUUCCUUUGUCUCAGCUGCAUGUGCAAGAUUUUAUAGAAAGUAAAGACAAUCCUUCCAUUACCAGGGUAUGCAGGGCCCUGGAGGAUGUAUUGUUGGAAUUCUGUGGCUUUCUUUCCUUUAAGAAUGUAC